ACGGGUGUAGUUCAAGGGUAGAAUAGUGGUCUCCAAAACCAUUGAUGGGAGUUCGAAUCUCUCCACCCGUGCAA
rnacentral:tRNA from 8 species